rnacentral:rRNA from 1 species
AACGAACGCUGGCGGCAUGCCUAACACAUGCAAGUCGAACGAGCCCUUCGGGUCCUUUGUCGCCCGGCUGCGUCACCCGUCGGAACCUGCCCUUAUGUUCGGCCUAACUCUCCGAAAGGGGUGCUAAUACCGGAUAAUGUCUUCGGACCAAUGAUUUAUCGCCUUUGGAUGGUCCCUCGUUGGAUUAGCUAGUUGGUAGGCUAAUAGCCUACCACGGCGACGAUGCAUAGAUGGUAUGAGAGGAUGAUCAGCAACACUGAGAGUAGGACACGGCCCAGAAUCCUACGGGAGGCAGGAGUGGGGGAUAGUGGAAAAUGGGGGGAGGGCUGAAGGAGCAAGGCCGGGAAAGUGAUGAAGGCCGUAGAGUUGUAAAGCGCUUUUACCCGGGAUGAUAAUGACGGUACCGGGAGAAUAAGCUCCGGCUAACUACGUG